rnacentral:rRNA from 1 species
CCGCAAGGGAACAGUGAAAUAACAAUGAAAUACUUUAAGCAAAAUAAAGCAGAGCCACAACCUCGUACCUUUUGCAUCAUGGUCUAACUAGUCCAACCAAGCAAAAAGAAUUUUAAGUUUGACCCCCCGAAACUAGGUGAGCUACUCAAAAACAGCCUUUGGGCCAACCCGUCUCUGUUGCAAAAGAGUGGGAAGAUUUUUGAGUAGAGGUGAUAGACCUACCGAACCUAGAGAUAGCUGGUUAUUCAGGAAGAGGAUUUAAGUCCUACCUUAGGUUUUUCUUAUCCCAAAAUACUCCCUCAACCUUAAGAGCUAUUCAAAUAAGGUACAGCCUAUUUGAAACAGGAUACAACCUCGCCGCAGCCACCUUUAAAAAAAGCGUUAAAAGCUUAACUAUCUUUUAUAAAAAUUCCUACAAUCACAUAAAACCCUCAAUUUGUACUGAAUGAUUUCAUACCUGUAUGAAAGCCUAUAUGUUAGAACUAGUAACAAGAAGAAGCCCUUCUCCAAAAUGUAUGUAUAAGCCACAAUGAACAAUUCACUGGCAUUUAAAGUUAAUAAAUCCACAGUAGUAACACACCAAGAAAAAUCUACUAACAACAACGUUAACCUUACACCAGCACAUUAAUGGAAAGAUUAAAAGAGUGGGAAGGAACUCGGCAAAUAAUUAACCUCGCCUGUUUACCAAAAACAUCGCCUCCUGCUUCUUAUAGGAGGUCUAGCCUGCCCAGUGACAAAGUUAAACGGCCGCGGUACCCUAACCGUGCAAAGGUAGCGCAAUCACUUGUUCUUUAAAUGAGGACUAGUAUGAACGGCAUCACGAAGGUUAUACUGUCUCCCCACUUUAUUCAGUGAAACUGAUCUUCCCGUGAAGAAGCGGGAAUUUUUUUAUAAGACGAGAAGACCCCAUGGAGCUUUAAACUCAGCAUCAACUGCCUCUCUGUAAAACCUAGUACAAAAGCAGCCAUGACACCUAGUUUUCGGUUGGGGUGACCACGGAGUAAAGCCUAACCUCCACGACGAAAGGAACUACCCACCUAAGCCAAGAGCUACAGCUCUAAGCAUUAAAAAAUUAACCAAAUUGACCCAAUUUUUUGAUCAACGAACCAAGUUACCCUGGGGAUAACAGCGCAAUCCAUUUCAAGAGCCCCUAUCGACAAAUGGGUUUACGACCUCGAUGUUGGAUCAGGGUAUCCCAGUGGCGCAGCCGCUACUAACGG